CACCUAGUAUUUCCGCCGAGAUAGAAAGGAUUCACGGAUCGUCGAGCAUCGGACCAGCGGACAAUAGCUGAAUAUGUGAGGAACAAUGUCCUACAAAGCUUUUUAUCCUUCGCGCAUCCGAAAAGCGCUGAGUUAUCUUGAAAGUUAGACAUUCUUCGACUACGUGUUUUACCUUUAAUAUUCUUCAUGACACUUUCUAUGUUUCGGAACAGUUGUGCGAAUUUUUCUUCAGUAUCAAAGUUUUCCGAUCAUGACGUCCCGACAUUCUUUCAAGCACAGUAGUAUUCAGAAAGGUUCUGAGAUUGUUAUCUAAACAUAAAAUCCUCCGCACACAUCCGCCUUUUUGUUCUAGACUGAUUUGUUUAUCACGGCG